GACGAACGCUGGCGGCGUGCUUAACACAUGCAAGUCGAACGGAAAGGCCCUGCUUUUGUGGGGUGCUCGAGUGGCGAACGGGUGAGUAACACGUGAGUAACCUGCCCUUGACUUUGGGAUAACUUCAGGAAACUGGGGCUAAUACCGGAUAGGAGCUCCUGCUGCAUGGUGGGGGUUGGAAAGUUUCGGCGGUUGGGGAUGGACUCGCGGCUUAUCAGCUUGUUGGGGGGGUAGUGGCUUACCAAGGCUUUGACGGGUAGCCGGCCUGAGAGGGUGACCGGCGACAUUGGGACUAAGAUACGGCCCAGAAUCCUACGGGAGGCAGCAGUGGGGAGUAUUGCACAAUGGGCGGAAGCCUGAGGCAGCGGCGCCGCGUGCGGGAUGACGGCCUUCGAGUUGUAAACCGCUUUCGCCUGUGACGAAGCGUGAGUGACGGUAAUGGGUAAAAAAGCACCGGCUAACUACGUG
rnacentral:rRNA from 1 species